CGUGACUACUUUGAGUACUGGGGCCAGGGAGUCCUGGUCACCGUCUCCUCAGGGAGUGCAUCCGCCCCAACCCUUUUCCCCCUCGUCUCCUGUGAGAAUGCCCCGUUGGAUACGAACAAAGUGGCCGUUGGCUGCCUCGCACAGGACUUCCUUCCCGACUCCAUCACUUUCUCCUGGAAAUUCAAGAACAACUCUGACAUCAGCAAAGAUGUCUGGGGCUUCCCAUCAGUCCUGAGAGAGGGCAAGUACGCGGCCACCUCGCAGGUGCUGCUGGCUUCCAAGGACGUCAUGCAGGGCACAGACGAACACGUGGUAUGCAAAGUCCAGCACCCCAAUGGCAACAAAGAACAGAACGUGCCUCUUCCAGUGGUUGUCGAGCAGCCUCCCAACGUGAGUGUCUUCGUCCCACCCCGAGACGGCUUCGUCGGCAACCCCCGCGAGUCCAAGCUCAUCUGCCAGGCCACAGGUUUCAGCCCCCGGCAGAUUGAGGUGUCCUGGCUGCGCGAGGGGAAGCAGGUGGGGUCUGGCAUCACCACGGGCCAGGUGGAGGCUGAAGCCAAAGAGUCUGGGCCCACGACCUUCAAAGUGACCAGCACACUGACCAUCAGCGAGAGAGACUGGCUCAGCCAGAGCGUGUUCACCUGCCGCGUGGAUCACAGGGGCCUGACCUUCCAGAAGAACGUGUCCUCCGUGUGUGGCCCCAAUCCAGACAUAGCCAUCCGGGUCUUCGCCAUCCCCCCAUCCUUUGCCAGCAUCUUCCUCACCAAGUCCACCAAGUUGACAUGCCUGGUCACAGACCUGGCCACCUACGACAGUGUGACCAUCUCCUGGACCCGCCAGAAUGGCGAAACUCUGAAAACCCACACCAACAUCUCCGAGAGCCACCCCAAUGGCACCUUCAGCGCCGUGGGUGAGGCCAGCAUCUGUGAGGACGACUGGAACUCCGGGGAGAGGUUCAGGUGCACCGUGACCCACACGGACCUGCCCUCGCCGCUGAAGCAGACCAUCUACAGGCCCAAGGGGGUGCCCAUGCACAGGCCCGAUGUCUACUUGCUGCCACCAGCCCGGGAGCAGCUGAACCUGCGGGAGUCGGCCACCAUCACCUGCCUGGUGACGGGCUUCUCUCCCGCGGACAUCUUCGUGCAGUGGAUGCAGAGGGGGCAGCCUUUGUCCCCGGAGAAGUAUGUGACCAGUGCCCCAAUGCCUGAGCCCCAGGCCCCAGGCCGGUACUUCGCCCACAGCAUCCUGACCGUGUCUGAAGAGGACUGGAACACGGGGGAGACCUACACCUGCGUCGUGGCCCAUGAGGCCCUGCCCAACAGGGUCACCGAGAGGACCGUGGACAAGUCCACCGAGGGGGAGGUGAGUGCUGACGAGGAGGGCUUUGAGAACCUGUGGGCCACUGCCUCCACCUUCAUCGUCCUCUUCCUCUUGAGCCUCUUCUACAGUACCACUGUCACCUUGUUCAAGGUGAAAUGAUCCCAACAGAAGAACAUCGGAGACCAGAGACAGGAACUCAAAGGGGCGCUGCCUCCGGGUCUGGGGUCCCGGCCUGCGUGGCCUGUUGGCGCGUGUUUCUCUUCCCUGCCCGGCCUCCAGCUAUGUGCUCUAACACAGGCUUCCUUCUAGAGAGGCAGGGGCGGGCUGGCGUGCGGACCACGACGGGGGCUCCACCCCACACCGCUUUGCUGUGUAUACGCUUGUUGCCCUGAAAUAAAUAUGCACAUUUUAUCCAUGAAA